rfam:Glarea lozoyensis 74030 unplaced genomic scaffold M7I_scaffold33, whole genome shotgun sequence.
UGCAUCCAAGCUUACAAAUUGUAGAAUUUGAAACGAUACAGAGAAGAUUAGCAUGGCCCCUGCACUAAGGAUGACACGCUCAAUCAAAGAGAAGCUACCAAUUUUU